rnacentral:rRNA from 1 species
CCCUAUGGGGCGCUGCACGAAUUGUUGCAGAAGUUGGCGGGCGAGUUGCGCGGGCCGUAUCGCUUGGAUCGACUGGCGGGCGACAGCGCGGCGAUGACGCGCGUGCGGGAGCAAGUGCAAUUGGCGAUCGCGCGGGCGACGCACGUGGUGAUCAUGGGACCGCCGGGCAGUGGUCGGGAGCAGGCGGCGCGCACGAUUCACUCCGGUCGUCAGCCCGCGGGCGGUUCGCUGCUGCCGCUCUCCUGCGCCGCGUUGGACGCGGAACUGUUGCGGAGCACGGCGCGGGCUUUCCUGCGCCGGUGCGCCGCCGCGCCGGCCGCGGAGGUUCCCACGCUCUUGCUGCUGGACGCCGACGAAUUGGCGGGAGGGC